CAUAAGCGUCAAUUUCUGCAGAUCCGACUGGAAAAAAUGUUCUCCAUGAUAGUUGAACAUAUAUUUGAGGCAACUUUGUCAGGGUUACUCUUUAUUUAUGAAGGUAAAGUAUACUUCCUAUAUGUUUUUAGUUUGCAAUUUCUGGGAAGUUGUCUAGCCAGACUUGAAUCAUUUUUAGCAUGCAAAACGGUAUCUAUAUAAAUGUUUCUUUUGAAUUCAAUUGGGAGGUUAUCCUGGAGAAGCUCCAAUUUAAUGCACACAACUUUAUCAAUAGGGUCCUACACAGAGAAGGAAAACAUCUUUCUACCAAGUGAUGAUAAGAGAAACAUCAAAAGGUCAAGCCUCUAUCCAAAAGUGAGGUUUAGAUGGAACUAUUUUUGUGUUGUCUAAUUGUAGGACCUACAGUUGAGCUUUGACAGGACUUUUAAAUUGACACAAUUGAUAUAUAGUGUAACUUAUAUUAUCUUUUUAUACAUUUCUAACUAUUUUUGUGUUGUCUAAUUGUAGGAAGCAUCUUCUUUAGUUUUGUGACUUUUGAUACUGAAAAUAAAGAAACUUUCUGGGGUUGCCAAUUGGUACAACAACUUUGUUCAGUAGGGAGCCCUAUUAUAGGGAAAUAAAGACUCAAAUAUGAUACACAAGUUAUUCAACUUUUUUGCCCCUCAUAGUUUCAGUUUUACAGGUAAUCUGCCACUUUCUAUUAAGUUUUUUUGUGCCAUCAGGAAGAGUUGAUCGUCAGAAGAAAAGCUAGCAGCUUGUACUAGGGUGUUUUAUGAGGUGCUCGAGUAAUCCACCCCAUCUUUCUAUUCAAACUAUUGUCUAUCAUCAAGUAAAUAGAUUUUAUAUAACUUGUUUUGUUUGAAAUUAACUAAUAACAUUAUAAUUUGUAUGUUGUAAAGCUUAUAUUGUCAUAUUCUUGUGCUCAAUUAACUUAAAUGUUUUAACUUUUUCAUUGCCAGUUAGAAUUUGGCGACGGUAUAGAAAAACUUCUUAAAAUGCGACAAAGUUGUUUGGUGCUGGACUGGUACUCAGAGGGAGCAGAUAACACUAUGAAUUAACUUGAUAUUUUGUGCUAUAGUUUGGUGGUCCUUGUGAAUAUUCCCUUGAUAAUUUAUGUACUAAAUUUUUGUUCUUUUGUAGUGGGUAGAACUAACUUUGCACCUUGUACAGUUCUUUUGAUUUAGAAAUUUAUAGUAGCCAUGACAAUGAAUAAUUCCUACUCCUAUACAUUUAUGUCGAUGUAAAAGAAAGCUCAUAUUUUUCAUAUGAAAGGUAUUCUUUGGUGUAAAUUUAAGUAUUUGCUCAGCAUACUUUUGCAUUAAUCU
rnacentral:lncRNA from 1 species